rnacentral:lncRNA from 1 species
AUAAACUGUAAACAGCAAUAAUGUUCAGCAAAGUAAGAUUUACAAAUAAGUCAAACAUGACCAAAAUGGCCAAUUGACCACUUUAGGAGUUAUUGCCCUUUAUAGUCAAUUUUUAACCAUUUUUCGUAAAUCUUAGUUAUCUUUUAGAAAAAUCUUCUCCUCUGAAACAACUGGGCCAAAUUUAACCAAACUUAGCCAUAAUCAUCAUUGGGGUAUCUAGUUUAAAAAAAUGUGUCUGGUAACUCGGCCAACAAACCAAGAUGGCUGCCAUGGCUAAAAAUAGAACAUGGGGGUAAAAUGCAGUUUUUGGCUUAUAACGCAAAAACCAAAGCAUUAAGAGCAAAUCUGACAGGAAGUAAAAUUGUUGAUCAGGUCAUGAUCUAUCUGCCCUGGAAUUUUCAGAUGAAUCGGAUAAUCGGUUGUUAGGUUGCUGCCCCUGAAUUGGUAAUUUUGAGGAAAUUUUGCUGUUUUUUUGUUAUCUUGAAUAUUAUUAUAGAUAGAGAUAAACUGUAAACAGCAAUAAUGUACAGCAAAGUAAGAACUAAAAAUAAGUCACUAUGACCAAAAUAGUCAAUUGACCCCCUAAGGAGUUAUUGCCCUUUAUAGUCAAUUUUUAACAAUUUUCUUAAAAUUUGGAGAUUUUCAAUAACAUUUUCCACAGAAAGUACUGUUAUAGAUAGAGAUAAUUGUAAGCAGCAAGAAUGUUUAGUAAAGUAAGAUCUACAAACACAUCACCAUCACCAAAACACAAUUUUGUCAUGAAUCCAUCUGUGUCCAUUGUUUAAUAUUCACAUAGACCAAGGUGAGCGACACAGGCUCUUUAGAGCCUCUAGUUUAC